UCUGGACCAUUGAAGGGGGUAAAACAUCUACUUGGAUGAAGCACUUGAAUCUUGUGAUUGCCUUCUAAAUCAAGACAAAUUAUAAUUAAAAUGAAGAGAUGAUUUAGCGCAAUAACCAAUUUUCUUGUAUCCAUGUGUGAUUCCAUUACUCAGAUCAAUAUUUUAAUAAAGCAGAUCUUUAAACACA